AAGCUCGUAGUUGAAUUUCGGGAUUCGUCGGUUGGUCGGGCUUCACUGUCCGCACUGACCUGACGGGUUCCUACCUUCUGAAUAACCAGCAUGCUAUUAAGUUAGUGCGUUGGGGAAGCAGAGCUAUUACCUUGAAAAAAUUAGAGUGCUUAAAGCAGGCUUGUGCUUGAAUAGAUUAGCAUGGAAUAAUAGAAUAGGACGUGCGGUUCUAUUUUGUUGGUUUCUAGAGUCGCCGUAAUGAUUAAUAGGGAUAGUUGGG
rnacentral:rRNA from 1 species